AACGAACGCUGGCGGCAUGCCUAACACAUGCAAGUCGAACGAUCCCUUCGGGGAUAGUGGCGCACGGGUGCGUAACGCGUGGGAACCUGCCCUUAGGUUCGGAAUAACUCAGAGAAAUUUGAGCUAAUACCGGAUAAUGUCUUCGGACCAAAGAUUUAUCGCCUUUGGAUGGGCCCGCGUUGGAUUAGCUAGUUGGUUGGGUAAAGGCCUACCAAGGCGACGAUCCAUAGCUGGUCUGAGAGGAUGAUCAGCCACACUGGGACUGAGACACGGCCCAGACUCCUACGGGAGGCAGCAGUGGGGAAUAGUGGACAAUGGGCGAAAGCCUGAUCCAGCAAUGCCGCGUGAGUGAUGAAGGCCUUAGGGUUGUAAAGCUCUUUUACCCGGGAUGAUAAUGACAGUACCGGGAGAAUAAGCCCCGGCUAACUCCGUG
rnacentral:rRNA from 1 species